GAAAUGCGAUAAGUAAUGUGAAUUGCAGAAUUCAGUGAAUCAUCGAAUCUUUGAACGCACCGUGCGCUCCUUGGUAUUCCUUGGAGCACGCCUGUUUGAGUAUCAUGAAAUCUUCAAAGUAAAUCUUUUGUUAACUCAAUUGGUUUCUACUUUGGUAUUGGAGGUCUUUGCAGCUUCACACCUGCUCCUCUUUGUUCAUUAGCUGGAUCUCAGUGUUAUGCUUGGUUCCACUCGGCGUGAUAAGUUAUCUAUCGCUGAGGACACUGUAAAAGGUGGCCAAGGUAAAUGCAGAUGAACCGCUUCUAAUAGUCCAUUGACUUGGACAAUACUUUUAUGAUCUGAUCUCAAAUCAGGUAGGACUACCCGCUGAACUUAAGC
rnacentral:misc_RNA from 1 species